UCCAACGAUAAACUCUCUCCACUCUCUAGUUUUCAAGUCUCUGCGUUUUCAAGCAAAUAGAAGAAGAGAAGAAAAAGCCGUGAAGCCUCCUAGCCGCCAUCAUCCACCUUGUGCCGUGAGCUUUGAAGCCUUGCUUUCAAGAUUCAAGAAUCAAUGUCUCAAGUCUCCUACCAUUCACUCCAUUCACGGUGUGUACCCUCAAUCCCCGGUUUCAACGGUCCCUAUUUACCACAUACUAACGAUGAUAUUUUACAGGGUUAAAUUGGGUGCUACUUUUAGCAUAUCACUAGUCUUCAGAAGCUCUGUGUCUCAACCAAGGAGGAGAAGAAGCCAUGCAAUACAUCAAGAUCCUAGCCGCCAUCCACCCUUGUGUCGUCCCUAGAAGAUUGCUUGCUUUCAAGGAUCUUCAAGUUCUUCGUCUCAAGGCUUUGUCAUUCAUCUUUCAUGGUGUAUUUCAUACUUUCUUUUGUUUUCUUUUGUUUGAUUCGUAGAGCUAUGAAUUCUAGUUAACAUGACGUUAAGGGCAAAGUUUAAAGCCCGUCUCUAUGUUUUGAAAUAAAGUUGCAAUUUCUUUGUGUUGA